CAAUCUAAUAAUUUUGGUUCUCUGGUCUUUUUUCAUGUACCUUUUACCUUGCAGGCCUCUUGGUGUGGCUCUGCUCCCUCCCUGCUGGGCACCCAUGUUCACUCUGAAUUCUCCCAGAGGUCUUUGCUUCUGGCUAUGCUUUCCCUUUUAUCUACAAUAAACUUUCUCCUUCACCAUACUCAAGACCAAGCCAUGUCCUUCCUUUUUUCUUUUUUUCCUGGUCACCUCCUUCUAGGUGCUGAGGCAUCAGGAAAGAAAAGGAGAGCUCCUGCUCUCAACUCAUGCCAGGCUGGGGACAGCCUUUCAGGGACAGUGAUACAUCAGUGUGAUGGAGGUGGAACAAGAACACGAGGUGGCGGGAGCUGUUUCCCAUACCCUCUCACUGCACAGGCACUCUGAAAGACUGGCUUCCUUAUAACCUCUCUCAGGCAAGAGCGUUCAAGUUUACAAACUAAAGUUCCCACGAAAGCUACACCUGGGUUAAAGAUGUUAGAAGGUUGACUACAACUUUGUGAUGGCGGAGAGUUGGAAUGCUGCAGAUCUUGAGACAAAUUACCUUGCUUUAGACCCUUAGUAACCACUUAUUGCUUAUCUUGUGUCUGACCUAACAUUUCUGUGACUACCAGGUAACGCCUUUUGGAAUAAGUUAAUAGAAAACUAGUGUCUACCAACCCAAACUUAGUAAUGUCAUCAGCUAGCACCUGAGACAUGGAGCCUAGAUUUUCAUGCUUUGCUGUAGCCUGAGUGUCUGGUUUAUGGCUUGCUUUUGUUCUCUGCAACUACAAAAAAUAUCAUGAAACCAUUUCCACAUUGGACCACGUUAUUUGGGGUGAUGCGAAUCUGUAUUCUUGGGUCAUGGCAAUUCAUAUUUGGUCCGGGGAUAGAAUGAAGUAUCUCUGAUUUCCCUUGAGGUGAGAGCUGUUUUGUGCCUACAGGACGCAGACUGAGGACAGAACACAAGAGCAGAGAUUGGGUCAGGAGAUGGGACACGGCCUCAGGGAGGAGGUGGUGCCCAGUGCUUCCGGGCAUGAGCCCAGCUCCUCACAGCAGCAGAAAUUUCCAGUGAGACCAGCCAAGUGUCAAGGUGUAUGUGAAUUGUGAGGCCAGUGACACUGGGCCCUGAUUAGCACCACUGAACGACUGCUAUCCCCUAGGAUGUUAAUCCUAUAACACUCCACUCUUAGGGCAGGAGGUCAGCAGACCUGAGAAGAUACCACUUUACUCCUGCAGCAAAGAGGGGCCUGGGCUAUAAAGAAUACAAGCAGCUAAAACCUGGCCACCAAUCAUCACAGCCAGUCAGGUCUUCGCCACUUGGAAGCUGAUGGGGGAGGACUGCUUAAGGCCUGAAGCUCCUGACCAACCUGGUCAACACUGAGAGACCCUGUCUCAAAAAAACCAACGCAGGCUCAACCUCCAGUGCUUCUAUCUUGACACACGGAAGAGUAUGGAACACUGCUGUUGUUCUUCAAGGUAGGGUCUCUCUCUGUAGCCCAGGCUGGACUUGAACUCAAAAUCUUCCUGUUUCAGCCUCCUAAGUGCUGUUCCACCACCCCUGGCUCUUUUACAGCUUUGCCAUCUCAUCGCACUGCACUGGAUUUUGGGGGUUCCUCAGUCUUCACCCCCUUCCUUCUGUAGAACUUGAUCUCUUCCUCUCAGUAAAGGGAAGGGCCACGGGACAGAAUGGACUGGUGUUUUGUUUGAAACAGGGUCUUACACUGCAGCUUAUGCUGCCCUGCAAUGAAUUUCAGAGUCCAGUUAGCCUGGGACUUUGUGGCAAUCCUCCUGUCUUAGUCUCCUGGGUGUAGGAUUACAGAUGUGAGCCACCGCUUCUGGUGGGAGGUUUCGAAACGUGUGCUCUCCCAGCCAACUGCAAAGAACAUGACUGGGAACCCUACACCUGCCCAUCUGAGUCUUGGAUCGGUCCAACCUAUUCUGACAUGAACCCCAAGGCAGAGAGGGUCCAGCAGUGAGAUUUAAUCAGCGCUCCAAGGUACUGAUGUAGCAGCACUCUUAUCCAGGAGUAUUUUUUGCCCGAGGCAGGCAAACUUUCAGGGCAGGAAGAGAUGCUGAGCUUUGAACUGAACGGCAUCUUAAACCCAAAUGAGCUUAUCCAGGUCUCUGGACUUUCAGGCUGGCUUUGAAGGCCAGACUAAUUUGCCUUUGUCUUUACAUAAGACAUCUGAGAAGAGGGCUGCCUUCUCUUUCCGGGUCUCAAACAACGAUUUAUGGUGGGGUUUUUGUGAAGCACCUGGGCUCCAGGCGCCAGAGUUCCCUGCAGAGAACUGAUGAGAACCUCAAAAGAGCCACUAACAGCUGCAGUGGUGGUUACAACACAGCUGGACUAACGACUUCGGGGAAGCCUUGGCUUUCAGAUCCAGCCUUCCCAGGCUGGACCAACGGCGAAAAAAAAACAUCAAAAAUAAUUUCACAAUGCGGUCAGAUAAAGGGGAUGUGUGUCACGCCCAGACCACCCAUUCCUGGGUAAAUGUCGCCAGCUGGCCUUCGCCCGAGAGUAGAUGCUGGGCGCCGGCAUCUUCCCAUGGGCUCCAGCUUCAGUAGGCGGUACCUCGUUGACAAUGACAGGCGUUAGCCAUGUGCCAGGAAACAUCCUCAAUGCCUCGCGCUUAUUAAUGCAUUUAAUGAUCAAAGAAGUCCAGCAAGGCCAUGCCAUGAUCCUUAAACUAUGGGCGAGGACCAUCAAGGAGGCGACGUCACAUAAACCCGAGUCUCCCGACCAUGGGGACAGAGGCGCGGCCGAACCUAGAUACCCCGGCGUCUCGGAAUGUGAGCGGCGGGUGACGCGGCGAAUGACCCAGGCGCCGCCAGCCCGGGAGAGGCUCUAAGCCUGCGCGCGCCCAGCGGUGGCGCGGCCCAACGCCUUCUCACCACAGCAGUCCCUUUAACCCAAACUUUCUCCCUCUACUCUGGACCCCAGCACGCACACAUUGGCUGAGCCACAUCCGCCCAGAACUGUCUCCUUCUCCUGCCUAUUGGUUACAUCAAGCAUCAAUCCCCAUAUAAGAAUUCCGAUUGGCCUGUGCUCUUGUCAAUCAGGUGGGAGUCAUAGGGUAGGCGGAGCCCAGAGCGCCGCGCCAGCCUCGCAGCCUAGCCUCCCUCCUCCCAGCCCUGACUGUGGACUCCGACAGGUCCCAGGGUCGAGGCCAGAGCGGCACACAGGGGCGGGACUGCACGCGGCUCCCGGGACUCACCGAUCCGCUGUCCCACGGGAGAACUGAACGGGUUUCCCAGGAGAAAGUCCAUUGCCGCGGCUACCACUGCCACCAGCUCCCAGAAUCAGGAGCCACUCGUUUGUGGCCAAAGAGGAGGCAAGGACCUGGGUUUGUGCUCCUUUGAGACAGAGAAUGAACUGAACAUACUGUGGCAAGUUCCUUUACCUGAGUUACAGAUGUGCUCACUGCUCAGCCUCAAUUCCCAUCUGAACUGCAUGUGCUGUGGGAAUAGCAUGAUGUAACCUCGUCCGUGCCGCAUGGCUAUCUGCUUGUAUCUGUAUCUGCAUGGGCUGUAGCUGUCGUAGCCACCUCAGGUACCAGGUCAACACCGAGGCAUCGCUAUUCCUGAAGAGGCCGGCCCUGUGCUUUUAGACAUGCAGCUGAGUGUCUGGAGCCUGUGCUGUAACACAGACUCUCGAAUCAGCUCUUAUAUGUGUGUGUAAGCUGUCAAUCACAUAAAACUGCCUUUCAAAUUAGACUGCAAAAGCAUCCGAAGACAGCAAAUAGACACUUAGAUUUUUCCACAAGUUCUUGGAAUAAUCUCCUAAGGAACUCAAAAGUUUCUGCCAAAUGAAAAAGAACUAUUUGGGAAAAUGUGGACAAUGAAUGGUGCAUAAAGCUUUAAUUUUCAACUCUUAAGGAAAUAUAAUAAUAGUUAAAUGCAAAAAUACAAUAAAGAUUGCAGGUUAUUUUAUUCUGAAAAUACUUUUACCCAUCUAGGUAUUUGAAUAUGUUUAAGAAUGCACACAUUUUUUUCAACACCUGCUGCCUUUUUAGAAACCAGCCAAAGAACUCAGAUACAGAUGCAACACCUGUGGCUUUUGCCAUUUUGUCUGUGGAAUGACAAUUUAGGUUUUGCAUAAAAAACAAGUCAUUAGCCUUUAUAUUUCUACACUGUCUAACUUAAAAUGUCUUCAGUGGCAUACAUUAACUUUCUGCUGAGAAGUCUCCCAGCUGAGAACUGAGCUGCCCCAGCACUGAGUUAGCUGAGGGGCAGAAGCGUCAGAAGUGAAUUAAAGCUCAGAAGUAUAGACUCCUGUCAGGUACACAGCAUUGUACAACCUACAUGCACAGAACAGGUCCAUUUACUGUCUGCAUCCUUUUCUUCCUUUGACUUUAAUUAAACAACACCAAAAGACUGUGUGUCUGUGGCCCAAGUUUGUGCGUGGUUAAAGAGGGCCUUUGGAUGCCCUGACACUGGUGCUAGGGACAGCUGCAGGCCACCACACGGCUGUGGGGCUAAAUCUGUGACGUUGGAGAGCAGCUGUGCCUUUCCCCACCCCACUUUCUUUUUCUCUUUCAGUUUUUUGAAACUCUAUGUAGCCUGGCUGCCCUAGAAUUAUGUAGAAGCUGCCUUGAACUCAAGAGACCUGCCUGCCUCUGCCUCCCAAGUGCUGGGAUUUAGAUUUAAGGUGAACAUACAUCUUUCAUCUUUUGAGAUUGUAAUACAAUCACCCCCCCUUCCUCCCACCAAACCCUCCCAAGUUCCCCUCCGUUCUCUUUCAAAUUCAUGGCCUUUUAAAAGUCAUUAACUGUUGUUAUGCAUAUGGGGGGUAGUGCUUUUCUCCUAAACACAUAAAUAUAACCUAUUCAGUGUAGGCGACGUCAUUAGACAGGUAAGGGCUGGUACAAGUUAGGUCAAGGCCACGAUUGAACAGGACAGGGGCAAAGCUUUUGCAAGGCACAGAGAAGGGGAAGGAGGAAGAGAAGGUGGAGACAGAGAAUGACCCAUAUCUGGGUGGUCUUGAAUUGCCAAGGUAGCUGGGAUGGAUUUCUGUAGGCAAAUUUAUCUCAUCUAGGUAGGCGGCUUAUAUCUUUAUCAAUUGGUUGUGGGUUCACUGUGAGGUUGUAUUGUGGAUUGAGAAUUUAAUAUGUAAAUCUGAUUGAUAAAUUACAGUUUAUUGACUCAUGAUUUCACUGAUUGUUGUGAAUGUGAGCGGAGUCCAUGGCAGGGAGCCGUGAUAGGCCAGCCCACGCCUGGACUUCUCAAGCCCUGAUUUUACCCGGUAGUUGGGACCAGAGGGUUUGAGGCUAGCAGAGAGUCUCUGGGAGAGAUACUAAUCAGAGAUAAAUUAUGGUUAGUUCCAUUUGGCCCCACGGGCGCUGGAACUAACACUAGAAAGCAGCGUGGCAAGGUGCUGCACUGGAACAAACAGCCCCCGUACCACCCGAGUUAGAGUACUUGGGGGCAGUGUGGAGCGGCUGAGAGAAAGACACCCACAGUGCCAGGCGGCCCCACGGUUGCGGGCAUUGGCAUGGGAUAAGAGGUUUAAAGGUUUUUGAAUAUUUACCACAACAGUUCAGUUUGUAUGUUAUUGGUCUAUUUUCAGAGCUGACCCGUUAGUGUUAAGAUAUCCAAUUGGUAUGCUUGUCCCUGGGAAGACUUUCUUCUGCUCUCAGCAGUCCUUAGGUACCUGUAGUUUUUGGUGUAGGUUGAGCCCUGUGAGCUUUUCCACAGCACAAAGGUAGGGUCUCACUAUAUGGCCCCGGUUGACCUCACACUUGAGAUCAUCCUCCUGCUUCUGGCUUCUGAAUGCUGUGAUUUUCAGAGAAUUUUGGGACCUCUUCUCUCUGUAUAAUCUUGUCUGACAUUUCAAACUACACAAAAUGCACUAAACAAUUCUGCUUUUAGAAAGUACCAGGGUGUUCACUAAGAUUUUCAUGGCAUUUUAAUUUACUUGGGUUUACUUAUUUUAUUUGUUUUUGAGACAGCAUUUCAGUGUAUAAUCCAGGUUGAUCUUGAACUUGCAGGAAAUCUGUUUCAGUCUCAGUUCUGGGAUUAGGGGGCUGAGCUAACUUUUUUUUUUAACAUUAAUUUGUAGGUCUUUUUAAAAGAUUUAUUUAUUUUAUGUGAGUCCACUGUUGCUCUCUUCAAACUUACUAGAAGAGGACAUCCAACCCUAUUACAGAUGGUUGUGAGCCGCCAUGUGGUUGCUGGGAUUUGAACUCAGGACCUGUGGAAGAGCAGUCAGUGCUCUAACCACUGAGCCAUCUCUCCAGCCCUCUGCUGAAUUUUUAAAACCUAGCGACAGGUAUCUUGACUUCUUUCAGCAACACUGUUUCUACUGAAUGGUAUAACCAUAAUGUCUGAGAACGGAUGGACAGACUUGCAAAUCUUUAGAAAUUUUUUAGCGCACUGUGGGUUCCAUGGCAUAACUUUAGGUAAAGUAGUGGCUUGUUAAACGAACACACGGAUCUAAAUAAUAUAAGAAACAGGAGCCCUGCUGAUGAGCGCUGUGCUCACCUCUGUCUCCUGCAGGCGGUGUCCAAUGAGGCUGAGGGACUCUCCCAGCAACUGGAGAUGAGCGGCGACAUCAAUGGGCUCGGUUUCAGGAGCUUUGGCUGGUGAGGCUGGCAAAAGCAUUGUGGUCGGUGGGGACUUCUUUUGGGGUGAAAGUAUUCCCACAGAAGAAGCUGAGAAGAGAGGAUGGAAAUUUACCUAUGGCCUUCAGUGUCACAGUAAUGACUAUUUUCCCUCUUGAAACUGUAGCAUCAGCUACCCUAUCCACAUGUGUGCAGUUCCCACAAAGGUCAGGAGAGGGCAGCGGAGCCCCAGGAACUGGAGUUAUAGCCUGCUGUGAACAAGUCAGAGGCUGGGAUUUGAACCCUAGUCCUUUGCAAGAACAGCUAAUGCGCUCAACAGCUGAGCCGUUUCUCCAGCCCUAGCUGUGGUCAUUAAAAGGCUGUGAGAAAAACAAAAACACAUCAUGUGUGCACGUGUGACUGGGAAUGCACACGACACACAAAGGUUCUAACACUCACUCUCUGGGUCUCAGUGGAGUCUAGACUUGUCUAUUUGCUGUACUGCUCAGGCUGGCUUGAACUUGCUGCUCUCCUGUUUGCUGGAUUACGCGGAGGCGGAAGGCCCAGUCUUUGCCUUAGAUUCUGGAUCCUUACAGUCAACUCCAUGACUUCUUAGUUUCUAAAUCUGAACUACUUUUAUGCAGCCUGCCACAUUCAGUAAUACUUAGUUAGACAUCAAGGCCCACUUCUAUUAUAAGCUGCUUGCUCUCCCAACCUUCUAGCAAAGCAGAAGAGACAAGUGUCUGCUACCUCUGACUUUCAUGGUGCCUUCUGCACUGGACGCUUUUCUUUUCACAGUUGUGGCUUCAGCUUUGUUCUGUUUGUGCUGCAGAUACUGAGCCUUUUGCUUCCAGAUCUGCAACAGAUCACAGAGAGUUAAACAGAUCUGCAACAGAUCACAGAGUUAAAACAGGUCUGCAACAGAUCACGGGGAGUUAAACAGGCAAAAGAGGAAACAAAGGGAGCAAGGAGCCAGGAGAAGGUUGGAGAGGGGGCAAAUAGUAACUUUGGAUUGUGGCUUCACUACAGUGGCUUCAAGGCUGAUGAGCUGAUAUCUUAAAUGCAGGGCUACAAGCAUCCACUCUCAGUGCUAAGGGUCAAGUCUCAGUACUGUUGAAAUACUUUAAGGUUAAAUGUACAUUAUACAGUGGAAAACCUAAUAAUGUCCUGUGCCUAACCUUCCUCUCUACCUGCCUGGUAAUGGAAAACAGCAAGCUAUCAACAACCAUCUGGGUAGAAAAGAGCUAUCUAUCUAAAAAAGCCAUUCUUUAAAUGAUGAUAAUCUUCAAAAGAAUGAUAAUUCUUGUGGUUUGAAUAUGCUUGGCCCAUGGGAAGUGGCACUAUUAGGAGGUGUGGCCUCAUGGGAGGAAGUGUCACUGUGUAGGCAGGCUUUGAAGUAGGGCUCAAGCCCACCCAACGCAGAAGAUAGUCUCCUCCUGGCUGCUUCCAGAUCAAGGUGUGGACCCAUGGCUUCUCCAGCUCCAUGCCGGCCAGUUGCUAUGCUUUCUGACAUGUUGAUAAUGGACUGAACCUCUGAAACUGUAAGCCAGCCCCAAUUAAAUGUUUGUCUUUAUAAGAGUUACCUUGGUCAUAGUGACUUCCUGGCAAUGAAUCCUAAGACACCAUAACUACCACUUACACUGGCUGGGAUGUGACUGCACGAAUCACGUAACUGUCUGUCUGUGACUUUUCUUUUUGUUUUUUUAAGACAGAUUUGAGAUCAAUCAUAUUAGUUUUUCAUAGAGUAGACCUCUAAUGGAGAUGAGAAUGGAGAUCCAGAGUCUGGCUAAAGGAAUCUGAUGGCUUUUCUUAUCUAGAAGAUCCUUCAGGAAGAAGAUCAACUGUGGGGAACAUGUGGAACUUUGCCUCUGAAGGCCCACCACCAUCUUAUCCAGCUGUGCUGUCUACUACAUGGCUGGUCUUGAGUAAGCACACAAAAAACAGACAGCUUUUCUUACACGUUGCAGUAAAAGUAUUUGUACCAGAGUGGGGUGUUUCACACAAUCCCAGGACUCAGCAGACGGAGGGCAGGAGGACCGACGUGCUCUCCAGACUGAGCAUCUUGUCAAGUCCAGGCACUUACUACACCCAGGACAGCUCCAGAGAAGUGACCUCCAGAUGUUCAACCUCCUCACAGACGCAGACACUUCUAUUGGACCUGUUCUUCCUGACCUCUCCUCAGAUGGUUCCACAGACCCCGGACAACAAGGAAACAGCCACUCUCCUUAGACUGGACAAACACCCCAGACCCACUUUUCCAGGUUCCCUAGAGACACGUGUCGCCAAGACAAGCAGGAAGCAGUCAAAGACCACGACCGCCCUAUUCCUGCUCCACAUUCAUCUUUCUAAUUUCUUUUUUAAUUAAACCCAAACGGGGGAUGUUAGCAUUCUGUCUAAGCUCCACCCCACAGUUACCUGGCAACAGCCAGGUGUGCCCGACACUCUAAAAGGGGCUGCUGGCCCCUCCUCACUCUCUUGCUCUUCCCCUCUUCCCCCUUUGUCCCUUCUCUCCCCAUUCCCCUCCCCCUCCCCUCCACGUGCUCAUGGCCCGCCUCUACUUCUCUCUUCUACUCUUCUCUCUCUCUGCCCUGCUACCCUCUUAACUCCCUCGAGAUGCCCCACAUAAACUCUAUUCUAUACUAUUCUAUUCUAUACCAUCGUGUGCUGGUUCCUGGGGGAAGGGGUGCCUCAAGCAUGGACCCCCCACAUCUCUACAGAACAUAAUCCCCCUUUAUCUUCUAUAAAUACAACAUCCACACUUCA